UCGGGUGUCGUCUAAUGGUAGGACUCCAGAUUCUGGUUCUGGCUAUUGGGGUUCGAAUCCCUGCACCCGAG
rnacentral:tRNA from 1 species